rnacentral:rRNA from 1 species
GAUGAACGCUGGCGGCGUGCCUAAUACAUGCAAGUCGAGCGAACAGACGUGGAUCUUGCUCCUCUUUCGUUAGCGGCGGACGGGUGAGUAACACGUGGAUAACCUAUCUAUAAGACUGGGAUAACUUCUGGAAACCGGAGCUAAUACCGGAUAAUAUAUUGAACCGCAUGGUUCAAUAGUGAAAGACGGUUUUGCUGUCACUUAUAGGUGGAUCCGCGCCGCAUUAGCUACUUGGUAAGGUAGCGGCUUACGAAGGCAACGAUGGGUAGCCGACGUCAGAGUGAGAGCGGCGACGGUGGAACUGAGACUGGGUCACGGCUCAGACGGGUGCGAGAGGCAGGAGAGCGGAAGAAAGGGGAGUAAGCGUGACGGUGAAGCGGCGAGGGAGUGUUGAAGAUCAUGGGAUCGGGAUAGUAUGUUAUUAGGGAAGAACAAAUAUGUAAGUGGCUAUGAGCGUCUUGACGGUACUUAAUCAGAAAGCCACGGCUAACUACGUG